AGUACUAGGGUCGACCGGAGAGUGAUCUGCGGUUGAUUUGGUGGGUCUUCACUAGACCCACUAAAUCAACUCCCAAUGCAGCGCUCUCCACGCUG